UACAGAGGUCCCCAAGCGUUUGUUCGGAUUCACUGGGCGUAAAGGGUGCGUAGGUGGUGAGGUAAGUCGGAUGUGAAAUCUCCGAGCUCAACUCGGAAAUGGCAUUGGAAACUACCUUGCUUGAGGGUUGGAGGGGGGACUGGAAUACUUGGUGUAGCAGUGAAAUGCGUAGAUAUCAAGUGGAACACCAGUGGCGAAGGCGAGUCCCUGGACAACUCCUGACACUGAGGCACGAAAGCUAGGGGAGCAAACAGG
rnacentral:rRNA from 1 species